UAGGGAAUAUUGGGCAAUGGGCGAGAGCCUGACCCAGCCAUGCCGCGUGCAGGAAGAAGGCUUUCUGAGUCGUAAACUGCUUUUGACAGGGAAGAAUAAGACCUACGUGUAGUGCGAUGACGGUACCUGCAGAAUAAGCACCGGCUAACUCCGUGCCAGCAGCCGCGGUAAUACGGAGGGUGCGAGCGUUGUCCGGAUUUAUUGGGUUUAAAGGGUGCGUAGGCGGCCGUUUAAGUCUGGGGUGAAAGCCCGCUGCUCAACAGCGGAACUGCCCUGGAUACUGGAUGGCUUGAGUACAGACGAGGUUGGCGGAAUGGACUGAGUAGCGGUGAAAUGCAUAGAUACAGUCCAGAACCCCGAUUGCGAAGGCAGCUGACUAGGCUGUUACUGACGCUGAGGCACGAAAGCGUGGGGGGCGAACAGGAUUAGAUACCCUGGUAGUCCACGCCGUAAACGAUGGAUACUCGCUGCGAGCUAAAGAUUGUUCGUGGCUUAGGGAAACCGAUAAGUAUCCCACCUGGGGAGUACGCUCGCAAGAGUG
rnacentral:rRNA from 1 species